GAGUUUGAUCUUGGCUCAGAACGAACGCUGGCGGCAGGCCUAACACAUGCAAGUCGAACGCCGUAGCAAUACGGAGUGGCAGACGGGUGAGUAACACGUGGGAACAUGCCCUUUGGUACGGAACAACUCCGGGAAACUGGAGCUAAUACCGUAUGUGCCCGAGAGGGGAAAGAUUUAUCGCCAAAGGAUUGGCCCGCGUCGGAUUAGCUAGUUGGUGAGGUAAUGGCUCACCAAGGCGACGAUCCGUAGCUGGUCUGAGAGGAUGAUCAGCCACACUGGGACUGAGACACGGCCCAGACUCCUACGGGAGGCAGCAGUGGGGAAUAUUGGACAAUGGGGGCAACCCUGAUCCAGCCAUGCCGCGUGUGUGAAGAAGGCC
rnacentral:rRNA from 1 species